UGGAAUCGCUAGUAAUCGCGAAUCAGAAUGUCGCGGUGAAUACGUUCCCGGGUCUUGUACACACCGCCCGUCACACCAUGGGAGUUGGGAAUGCCCGAAGUCAGUGACCCAACCGCAAGGAGGGAGCUGCCGAAGGCAGGCUCGAUAACUGGGGUGAAGUCGUAACAAGGUACC
rnacentral:rRNA from 1 species